AAUAACAACGAUGAAAUAUUAAUAAUAAAAAUAAACAUUAUUUAUUUAUUAUUACGUAUAUUGUAUAUUGAAUAUAUAUUCAAUUUUAAAUAUAUUACAUUAUAUGUUACAUAUAAUAUAUCAAAUAUAUUACAUUGAAUACUAUACAUUACAUAGAAUAUAUGUAAUAUAUUAAACAUAUAAAAUAUAUAAUCUAUUAACAUCUAUAUUUAACAUAUAAAUAUAUACUAGAUUGUAUGUGGAUUUAAAAAUUAAUUCUUAACAAAGGGACUCAAAGAAUCCAGGCAAUGGAGUAAAGAAUGUGUCCAGGCUGCAGAAUCCAAGGUUAUUAAAAAAUAAAAGUUACAUCGUUUGCAGUCAAUUCCUGCCUUUGCUCUGGCCGCACCGGUAGAAGCAUUCUGGAAGUGUGCAAACAGACGGGGGGAAACUGAAUCUCGGCGAUACUUCACUAAGGUCUGUGUAGCCCACAGUGCUGUGGGGAGCAUCAAAGGAGACAACAGAGAGGAGGAGAUGCUCCUUCCAGCUCCACACAAAGGCUACCUGUAGGUCUGGGGAAGCCUGCGGGGCCUCGUGCAGCUGGGAACAAUGAGCUUUGUUUGUUUCAGGCCAGGUCAGUUUCAGUGGGAACUGGAAUACCUUCAGUCUGGAAGAUUCCGCUCCUGCUCCACAGGAGACUGAUACUGGCUUCUGAGAGAGAAUUCCUCAAAAGUGUGAAGUUUCAGAAGGAGAACUGCCCCACAGCUCAAGGAUUAAAGCCAAGCCAAGCCAAGAGAGGCCAGGAUGUCUUGACCUUGCUAACCCUCCAUGACAUUUCUGUGAGUUGCUCAUGGGGUGCUGGUCUGAGAUAAUCAUGAAAUCUUUGUUUAGCAGUCCCACUUAGGUUCUUUAUCUUCAGAAGGGCAUCUAAAGGUAUCUAAUGACCUACUUGGGUGAUUCA
rnacentral:lncRNA from 1 species